CUGAUGGGAGCUGUAGUUAGUGCAGGUUAAUGGCUCAUCCUGCCAGGCGGCUUCGCGCUCCCUCGAGGCGGCUGCGGGAGAGGGGAGCGCCGGGCUUCGGCACUGCCGCCUUCGUUCCUCCCGUGUUCCCAUUGUUUACCCAGGAUCACUGGCUGGUUUGGUAGUCUAUUUUUGACAAGUCACUAUAGGGAAAGAAUACCUCAUUCCUCUCCCUAACAAUAGCUCUCAGCAAGUUCUGCAACACAGAUGGGUUCAAGAAGGGACACCAAUGUCUUUCAUCCUUAAUUACUAGACAGAAAUCUGUGAAGUAUCAAAGAUAAUUCUAGUGUCACCAUGGUACCUAGGCUCAUCAAAGAAACUGUGUGAGGCUGUCACUAGCUCAGCACUGUCCACUUCUUUGGAAUUCUCUGAGCAGAAGAUAAGAAGCAUCCUGUACACAAAAGAUAUAUGCAAAAUAUAGUUUGUGCACUUCUGACAAUAUGUUACUGAAAUACUUUCCCUGUCGUGAUGCUCUGAGAUAACUUAUUGGAAAAAAAUACUAUGUAAAUAGAUAGCUUAAGAAAGGAUUUGCUUUCUGUUCUGGUUCAUUUUUUUGUUUCACAUAAGUUUGCUGAGAAUCAGGAAGAAUUAUGUUCAGGAGCAAGAAUUUAAAGGACACGGACUGAACAAAUUCAAUUUCUGGAACAAAAAAUUGUAUUAAUUGGUUCUGAUGUCAAAAUAUUUCAGUGGAAAUCACGUGUCUG